GAUCAUCUUUCCUCAAUAGGCUACCUAUACAAAUUAUGAAGUUCAUUCUGUUCUUGUUUUCUUUUGUGGCUGUUCCAAGAUGUAAGCAUGCCUUCUGGGGAAAAUUAAGACAGCUCUGUUUACUUAAUGUAUGAAUUAGAUGGUGUCUGAUGCUCAUUGCAAUCUUCUCUCUUUCCCAAGGGGCCUUCUCAGACAUUCAGCUUGCACUUUCUGGACCAGGAACAGUGAGACCUGGAGAGAAUCUGAGUUUAGUCUGUAAAGUGACAGGUUUCUCUAUUUCCACUUCUUCUUCUUAUGCUUGGCACUGGAUCCGUCAGCCUCGUGGGAAAGGUCUAGAAUGGAUUGCAGCAAUAAAUCACAACUCAGGGGGCAAAUUCUAUGCCCCUUCUCUGCAAAGCCGAACAACCAUUUCUUCAGAUGCCUCCAAGAACGAGUUCUCUCUCCAGCUGACCUCCCUGACAGCUGCCGACUCCGCUGUGUAUUUCUGUGCCCGA